CUUGAGUUUAGGGUUUUUGUCAAUACAUCAAUACAAUACAAUUAUUUUAAAACUGUAUAGAAGGUACUAUGUGAAUGUGACAAAUGGUAAAUUUGAGAUCGUUAUUAGGGUUUACAUAGCCUGUCCUCUUGAAAAACUUUGUAAACAAGGUAAAGGGCAAGGGUGGGUAUACAACAUUCAAAUAAAAUAAUACUGAUAUGAUAUUUCUAUAGUGUAGUAGAAUAUCUCUUUAGUACCUAUAAUAUACUAAGCUUCUCAAAAAAAUAAGGAUAUGAUUUAUAUUAUAAGAUUUUAUUAUAAUUUUAUAUCUUGCCAAUAUGGCAUAUUAAUCUUGUGUGGGUGAUAUAUUGAAUCUCAAAUAUCGAUAUAUUUUCCGAUAAAUCGAAAGUUGAAUAUCGAUAAAAUUUUAAAAUAUGUGGAUAAAUUUAAUUUAUGGAUACAUCCUUGCCAUCCCUAGUUCCGCCUUGCCAGUAAAGGCGUGCGAGCUACUGCUACUGGCAUGCUAAUUACUGGCAAAUCGCAAAUGUGUUUUGUGCAUGCCAGUCACUGGCAUAUGCCAGCUACUGACAUAGAGAAAUAAAAACAAGUUUCUUUCUAAUUUACAGGCAAGCAUGUAGGUGUAGCCAGCUUUAAAUUGUAUUUAAGAUCAAUUGUAAUUGUAUAUUAUUUGGUAAAAGCAAUAAAAGGGUAAAACUG
rnacentral:lncRNA from 1 species